GCGCCUGUAGCUCAGCUGGACAGAGCAGCGGCCUUCUAAGCCGCAAGUCGGGGGUUCGAAUCCUCCCAGGCGCG
rnacentral:tRNA from 1 species